rnacentral:rRNA from 1 species
UACAGAGGCCUCGAGCGUUAAUCGGAAUCACUGGGCUUAAAGGGUGCGUAGGCGGCGCUGCAAGUGCCUUGUAAAAUCCCAUCGCUUAACGAUGGAACUGCUCGGUAGACUGCAGUGCUUGAGGUUGGUAGGGGCUGCCGGAACUCUAGGUGGAGCGGUGAAAUGCGUAGAUAUCUAGAGGAACGCCCAAGGCGAAGGCAGGCAGCUGGGCCAAUUCUGACGCUGAGGCACGAAAGCGUGGGGAGCAAACGGG